rnacentral:rRNA from 1 species
AUGAACGCUAGCUACAGGCUUAACACAUGCAAGUCGAGGGGCAGCAUUUUAGUUUGCUUGCAAACUAAAGAUGGCGACCGGCGCACGGGUGAGUAACACGUAUCCAACCUGCCGAUAACUCGGGGAUAGCCUUUCGAAAGAAAGAUUAAUAUCCGAUAGUAUAUUAAAACCGCAUGGUUUUACUAUUAAAGAAUUUCGGUUAUCGAUGGGGAUGCGUUCCAUUAGUUUGUUGGCGGGGUAACGGCCCACCAAGACUACGAUGGAUAGGGGUUCUGAGAGGAAGGUCCCCCACAUUGGAACUGAGACACGGUCCAAACUCCUACGGGAGGCAGCAGUGAGGAAUAUUGGUCAAUGGACGAGAGUCUGAACCAGCCAAGUAGCGUGAAGGAUGACUGCCCUAUGGGUUGUAAACUUCUUUUAUAUGGGAAUAAAGUAUUCCACGUGUGGGAUUUUGUAUGUACCAUAUGAAUAAGGAUCGGCUAACUCCGUGCCAGCAGCCGCGGUAAUACGGAGGAUCCGAGCGUUAUCCGGAUUUAUUGGGUUUAAAGGGAGCGUAGGUGGAUUGUUAAGUCAGUUGUGAAAGUUUGCGGCUCAACCGUAAAAUUGCAGUUGAAACUGGCAGUCUUGAGUACAGUAGAGGUGGGCGGAAUUCGUGGUGUAGCGGUGAAAUGCUUAGAUAUCACGAAGAACUCCGAUUGCGAAGGCAGCUCACUAGACUGCAACUGACACUGAUGCUCGAAAGUGUGGGUAUCAAACAGGAUUAGAUACCCUGGUAGUCCACACAGUAAACGAUGAAUACUCGCUGUUUGCGAUAUACAGUAAGCGGCCAAGCGAAAGCAUUAAGUAUUCCACCUGGGGAGUACGCCGGCAACGGUGAAACUCAAAGGAAUUGACGGGGGCCCGCACAAGCGGAGGAACAUGUGGUUUAAUUCGAUGAUACGCGAGGAACCUUACCCGGGCUUAAAUUGCAUUUGAAUAAUCUGGAAACAGGUUAGCCGCAAGGCAAAUGUGAAGGUGCUGCAUGGUUGUCGUCAGCUCGUGCCGUGAGGUGUCGGCUUAAGUGCCAUAACGAGCGCAACCCUUAUCUUUAGUUACUAACAGGUUAUGCUGAGGACUCUAGAGAGACUGCCGUCGUAAGAUGUGAGGAAGGUGGGGAUGACGUCAAAUCAGCACGGCCCUUACGUCCGGGGCUACACACGUGUUACAAUGGGGGGUACAGAAGGCAGCUACCUGGCGACAGGAUGCUAAUCCCAAAAACCUCUCUCAGUUCGGAUCGAAGUCUGCAACCCGGCUUCGUGAAGCUGGAUUCGCUAGUAAUCGCGCAUCAGCCAUGGCGCGGUGAAUACGUUCCCGGGCCUUGUACACACCGCCCGUCAAGCCAUGAAAGCCGGGGGUACCUGAAGUACGUAACCGCAAGGAGCGUCCUAGGGUAAAACUGGUAAUUGGGGCU